rnacentral:rRNA from 1 species
UACAGAAGGUGCGAGCGUUAUUCAUAGUUACUGGGCGUGAAGGGUAUGUAGGUAGAGCAGAAAAUUUUGCUAUAAAAUCUGGAGUCAUAACUUCAGAAACAAGCUUUUAGAUUACUGCUCUUUGAGUUAAUAACGGGUCGGAGGAACUUUUAGCGAAAAGGUAGAAUUUGCCAAUUCUAAAAGGAACAUCAAAGGCAAAGGCAUCCCUCUAGUGUUAACUGACGCUGAGGUACGGAAGCGUAGGGAUCAAACAGG